rnacentral:rRNA from 1 species
UACGUAGGUGGCGAGCGUUGUCCGGAUUUACUGGGCGUAAAGGGAGCGUAGGCGGACUUUUAAGUGAGAUGUGAAAUACUCGGGCUCAACUUGAGUGCUGCAUUUCAAACUGGAAGUCUAGAGUGCAGGAGAGGAGAAUGGAAUUCCUAGUGUAGCGGUGAAAUGCGUAGAGAUUAGGAAGAACACCAGUGGCGAAGGCGAUUCUCUGGACUGUAACUGACGCUGAGGCUCGAAAGCGUGGGGAGCAUACAGG